ensembl:Mt_tRNA
ACUCUUCUAGUAUAAUAGUACAAAUGACUUCCAAUCAUUAAGUUUUAGUUAUAACCCUAAAGAAGAGUA